rnacentral:lncRNA from 1 species
CCACAUUUACACAUGUUUAAGAAAAAUCAGUGUGUUAGCAUUUUAGCUACAUAAUUCCCUGGAUUGACAUGAAUUCAACAAGUUAACACUCCUAAAAAUGCCACUGUCUGGCCCCUGCUCACAAGCAGGGAUUCCAGGAAGUCAGAGAAUGGAUUUUGGUGGUGCCAGCUCUCCUUUCUGAGUCACAUUUAUCCCAUGUUUUAGGAUCUAAGGACCGAGGCAAGUAAGGCAAGAAGUAGAAUCCCACCUCACCCAUUGAAUGGCACUUGAUGGGUGAUGUCCAUCCAUCCUUCCUUCCACGGUACACAUACUUAGGGUACAGACAGCCAAAUGAAAGACAAGGGGAGUCAGAAUAUAUCUCUCUCUCUCUCCCCUCUCUCUCGUGGGGAUGGAUCCCAGGGCCUCAGGGCCUCACUCAUGCUAGGCAAGUGCUGUGCCUCUACCUGCAUCCUAGUGAAGGAGAAGGGUCACAAAUCUUAGGUUUUGUUUGAAGAAAUGACAGCAAGUCAAAAUUCAAUAACUCGUUUAAGGUCAUCCAGUUGGUCAAGUGGUAGAACUAAGAUUGAAACCCAAACAACAGGGGCUCUGAAUGUGGCUCCUUGGGAACAGCACCUGCUACACAAGUAUGAAGAUCAAAGUUUGGAUCCUCAGAACUCAUGGGAAUAAAAACCAGGUGGGUGUGGUAGCCUUCCUAUAAUCCUAGUGUGUGGGAGGCAGGGACAGGGAAUCCCUGGAGGAAACUGUUCAAGAUUCGGCCAGAAACCCUGUCUCAAUAUAUAAGGUGGAGAACAAAGAAGAAAGACAUCUAGAAUCAACCUCAGUCCUCCACAUGUUCACACAUAUGCACGUGUCCCUGUAUACAUGUGAUCACAUGUAGAUGCAUACACAUAUGUACACUGCAAAGAGAAAGCCAAGCAAUAGGGUUCAUGGUCUUAAUCACUUUGCUAUAUUUUAAUCAAUCUUGCAGGGUCAAUAAGAAAUAAUUUUAUCAUUUUUUCAUAGGGUAACUAUAUAAUAAAGUGUAUACAAACCUAGCCAAGGGUGGGCUUGUCACCAGUGUUGACCCAUUGGCCUAAAACUAUGAGUAACCUGCACUGUGUGUCUUAUUCUGUUCAAAUAUAAUUCUGGUUCUUAAAAAAUUACUCAUUCUUCCACAUGUGAUGUCAAAACCAAAACCACAAGUAGCUUAUUUAGAAAAUGAGUCACCCUGGAAGGACUGUUGGGGUAACAAAAAGGGGAGGCACUUACCACAGUCAUGCAGUACCCUAGUCAAGGGAUACAGGGAUUCUACCCAGCCCCUACUAAUAGAUCUGGACCAGAGGUGGGGGUGUCCCAUUGAGAAGCAGACUUCUUGGUAUUUAAAAAGAUGAUCACAGAGUCUUGGAAAACAGUACCACACAAUGGUCAAACAUCCAGUGAAUAGUGGACUUGAUCAACACAAGGAAGCAAAGGAAUCCUGGUUGCAACAUGG